UAUGGCCACAUCACAUUGAAACACCAGUUCCCAUAUGAUCACCAAAGUUAAGCAAAGUCAAGCCUGGUCAGUACCUAGAUGGGUGACUUCUUGGGAAUACCGGGUGCUGUAAG